UACGGGGGGGGCAAGCGUUGUUCGGAAUUACUGGGCGUAAAGGGCGCGUAGGCGGCCUGCUAAGUCGGACGUGAAAUCCCUCGGCUCAACCGGGGAACUGCGUCCGAUACUGGCGAGGCUUGAAUCCGGGAGAGGGAUGUGGAAUUCCAGGUGUAGCGGUGAAAUGCGUAGAUAUCAGGAGGAACACCCGUGGCGAAGGCGGCCUGCUGGGCAGUUGCUGACACUGAGGCGCGACAGCGUGGGGGAGCAAACAGG
rnacentral:rRNA from 1 species